rnacentral:rRNA from 1 species
GGUGGUGAACCUGCGGAAGGAUCAUUG